UAGCGACUGUCUUAAAAGUCAAGCGAUCGUGAACAAAAAACCGGGACUGUGAACAUUGACGCAACAGGGGAACGCUGCGCUAGAUUCGGUGGUGGCUGGUACGGGCAUUGAGAUUUUACAUUGGUAGCCAAGACAGUUGCAGCCCGCACCAGCCACUCCGCUACGCCACCGAAUCUUCCCCAGUUGCUGGACUUCCCGUAGAGGCAAAAAAGAACAUGAAAAAUUGCUCGCAUGACUGCGUAGGCAUAGCCCGUCGUAGACAUCGGAUCAGUAAAGAUGCGAUCCCAUCCGCUCAAAGGCUAAUAGAAAGUAUAAAAACGUUUGCAAGCCUUACGCGUUAACAAUUGGUUUAAAGUUAUCAGAAAUGCACCAAGGCAAAUUAUCUCGAAUCAUUGCAUUUAAAAUGACUAACAUUUUAUGAACGCAAGCGGUCAGAGCAAGUUUUUUGGAUUUACCACGUUCAACAAGACGCUCGUAAAAAGCUUUGAUAACGGGAUUAUAACGCAUUGCCACCACAGCACCCAUAUAAAGAGUGGCACGAACAUGAGCGCGACCGCCAUUAAUCAUGCGUUUACCUUUGUGUUGCCCACUAUCAUGAUUAAUUGGUGCAACACCAACUAGACGCGAGAUUUGUUUAGCGGUUAAUUGACCAAGUUCUGGUAAGUCAGAAACUAGGGUUGUAGAAAUAACUUGACCAAUACCAGGAGUAGUUUUGAGUAAAUUGACCUUAUUCAUCCAUUGUUGAUUAUUUCGAGUUAAUUGCUCAAUUUCUUGGUUAAGUUGUUUUAGGCGCUCUUCUAGAUAUUCAAUAUGUGCUUCAAUAUCUGCCAAUGCUUUACCACGAGAACGUGAACGACGAUUUUUCUCCGCAGUCUGCAUUUCAACUAAUUGCCUUCUGCGACUAAUUAACUCUCCUAAUUGACGCGCCUCUUCAGAUUCAAUUGGUAAAACCUGGGGUUUCAUUGCUUCCCCAAAUUGUGCCAAAAUUUGUGCAUCAAUAGCAUCAGUUUUAGCAAGCCUUCCUGUCGCUUUGGCAAAAUCUCUUCCUUGGCGAGGAUUAAUUAAUGCUACUGGUAAAAGUGCUGCCUGCAAUUGGAUAAUAAGUUCUAUUUCUAAACCUCCUGUUGCUUCUAACACAAUCAGAUUUAAAUCAUAGGAUUUGAGUUGUUCUACUAGAUGAGAUAUUUCUAAAACUGUGUUAGCAACUUUCAAUGCUUUACCCAAAGGACGGAUAUAAACAUCUAAUGUGGCUUUACUCACAUCAAUGCCUACCCAUUGAGAAAUAUUUUCCAUAUUUCACUCUCAACUAAUUUCUGUACUUUCUUUUGAAUUCAUCCCCUUGAUUUCACUCAUCCUUGCCCGAUACGGACUGUAUACUUUAACCAUUCAGUGUUUAAAGCUUUGACCCUGGCGACUGUUCGAGUUCUGUCAAAGAGAUUGUUGUAGUGACCCAUGCUACGAAGCGGUCUUUCUUGACCAAGGUUGGGACGGUCUACUACUAUUUCUAAGAUACAAGG
rnacentral:rRNA from 1 species